rnacentral:rRNA from 1 species
CAAGUCGAACGGCAUUUAUUUUAAAUAAUGUGAGUGGCGAACGGGUGAGAAGUGCAUUUGAAAUCUUCCUAAUAGUUGGGGAUCUAAGAUACAAAAAUACCCAAUAAAUACAAUGUAAAUAUUGUUAAUAAAAGAUUUUAUCGCUAUUAGAUGAGCAAGUGUCGAAUUAAGAAGGUAAUCAAACCUUAGCCCGUGUGGUAAAGGCGCACGGUACUAAUGAUUCGCGAGCUGGUUUUGGAGAUCGUACAGCCACAGUGUCAAUGAAAAAAGGGACAUCAAGCGGCAGUGGGGAAGUGUUGACAAUGCACGCAAGUGUGAUCGCGCGGAGUUAAUCCUAAUAUUGCAGGGAAACUGGAAUUAGAGUGGGAUAAAAUGAUAAUGACAUUUUAGUCUAAUUAACAAAGUACUAGCUAAAUUUGUGCCAGCAGCUGCGGUAAUACAAAUAGUGCAAGCGUUAUCCAUCUUUAUUGGGCGUAAAGGGUAUGUAGGUGGCUUUUUUUAACUAGAUCUAAAAUGCUAGAAUCUAAAAUUUAGAAGGAGGUCUAACGAUUAAUUCGCUAUAGAGUUAAGGAGAGGUUGGAAGAAUUUUUUAUUUAGGGGUAAAAUCCAAAAUUAAGAAAGACUACCAAUGGCGAAGGCAUCUUUCCAUUCUUAACUGACACUGAGGUACGAAAGCUUAGGUAAUCAAACGGAUUAGAGACCCGUGUAGUCUAAAGCAGUAAACGAUGCAAAUUAUUGGUUCGUGAAAUUCACGGAUUGAACAGCUAACGCGUUAAAUUUGCCGCCUGGGGAAUACUACCGAAAGGUUGAAACUCAAAGGAGUUGACGGAAGUUUUUACGAGGAGUGGAUCAUGGGGGUUUAAAGGCGAUAGUACACUGCAAGGUCCCAACCUGAAGUUAUUAUUAAACCUGAAUUUUUAUGUUUC